GACGAACGCUGGCGGCGUGCUUAACACAUGCAAGUCGAACGGUAAGGCCCUUCGGGGUACACGAGUGGCGAACGGGUGAGUAACGCGUGAGUAACCUGCCCUUCACUCUGGGAUAACAGUUGGAAACGGCUGCUAAUACCGGAUAUUCAGCUCCUGUCGCAUGGUGGGGGUUGGAAAGUUUUGGUGGUGGAGGAUGGGCUCGCGUCCUAUCAGCUUGUUGGUGGGGUGAUGGCCUACCAAGGCGUCGACGGGUAGCCGGCCUGAGAGGGCGACCGGCCACAUUGGGACUGAGAUACGGCCCAAACUCCUACGGGAGGCAGCAGUGGGGAAUAUUGCACAGUGGGCGGAAGCCUGAUGCAGCAACGCCGCGUGCGGGAUGACGGCCUUCGGGUUGUAAACCGCUUUCAGCAGGGACGAAGCGCAAGUGACGGUACCUGCAGAAGAAGCACCGGCUAACUACGUG
rnacentral:rRNA from 1 species